rnacentral:rRNA from 1 species
AGGGCAAGUCUGGUGCCAGCAGCCGCGGUAAUUCCAGCUCCAAUAGCGUAUAUUAAAGUUGUUGCAGUUAAAAAGCUCGUAGUUGAAUUUCGGGGUUCUACCGUUGGUCGGGCUUUGUCUGUACUGGCGUGUAGAAUUUCUACCUUCUGGGGAACCAUUAUGUUAUUAAUUUAGCGUAGUGGGAAACCAGGACCUUUACCUUGAAAAAAUUAGAGUGUUCAAAGCAGGCUUAUGUCUGAAUACAUUAGCAUGGAAUAAUAGAAUAGGACGGUGGUCCUGUUUUGUUGGUUUCUGAAUCACCGUAAUGAUUAAUAGGGAUAGUUGGGGGCAUUAGUAUUCAAUUGUCAGAGGUGAAAUUCUUGGACUUAUUGAAGACUAACUUCUGCGAAAGCAUUUGCCAAGGAUGUUUUCAUUAAUCAAGAACGAAAGUUAGGGGAUCGAAGACGAUCAGACACCGUCGUAGUCUUAACCAUAAACUAUGCCGACUAGGGAUCGGACGAUGUUAAUUUUUCUUGACUCGUUCGGCGCCUUACGGGAA